CCUCGGAUCAGGUAGGGAUACCCGCUGAACUUAAGCAUAUCAAUAAGCGGAGGAAAAGAAACCAACCGGGAUUGCCUCAGUAACGGCGAGUGAAGCGGCAAGAGCUCAAAUUUGAAAGCUGGCCCCUUCGGGGUCCGCAUUGUAAUUUGCAGAGGAUGCUUCGGGUGCAGCCCCCGUCUAAGUGCCCUGGAAUGGGCCGUCAGAGAGGGUGAGAAUCCCGUCUGGGAUGGGGUGCCUGUGCCCGUGUGAAGCUCCUUCGACGAGUCGAGUUGUUUGGGAAUGCAGCUCUAAAUGGGUGGUAAAUUUCAUCUAAAGCUAAAUAUUGGCCGGAGACCGAUAGCGCACAAGUAGAGUGAUCGAAAGAUGAAAAGCACUUUGAAAAGAGAGUUAAACAGCACGUGAAAUUGUUGAAAGGGAAGCGCUUGCGACCAGACUCGCCUCCGGGGUUCAGCCGGCAUUCGUGCCGGUGUACUUCCCCGGGGGCGGGCCAGCGUCGGUUUGGGCGGCCGGUCAAAGGCCUCCGGAAUGUAGCGCCCUUCGGGGCGCCUUAUAGCCGGGGGUGCAAUGCGGCCAGCCUGGACCGAGGAACGCGCUUCGGCUCGGACGCUGGCAUAAUGGUCGUAAACGACC
rnacentral:rRNA from 2 species